UCGAAUAAACUAGGUGGGUUGUUGCUGUCCCUCUCGAGGGAAUUGUGCACACCUUACCUUUUUUGUUUUUCCACCUGUGCACACAUUGUAGGUCUGGAGGGGAAGGGAGGCAACUCCCUGACGUUUCAGGUCCUAUGUCUUUACACAUACACUAUUAAAAGUAACAGAACGAUUCAAUGGGCUCUAAGCCUAUAAACUAUAUA
rnacentral:misc_RNA from 1 species